rnacentral:rRNA from 1 species
GACAGAGGAUGCAAACGUUGCUCGGAUUUACUGGGCGUAAAGCGCGCGCAGGCGGUCCUGUAAGUCGAGUGUGAAAUCCCGGGGCUCAACCUCGGACGUGCACUCGAUACUGCGGGACUGGAGUACUGGAGAGGAGAGCGGAAUUCCCGGUGUAGCGGUAGUAAUGACGUGAGAUAUCGGGAGGACACCUAUGGCGAAAGCAGGUUCUGGCCAUC